rnacentral:rRNA from 1 species
GACAGAGGGUGCAAACGUUGUUCGGAAUUACUGGGCGUAAAGCGUGCGUAGGUGGUUCGUUAAGUCUGAUGUGAAAGCCCUGGGCUCAACCUGGGAAUGGCAUUGGAAACUGGCGACCUAGAGUGCGGUAGAGGGCAGUGGAAUUCCCGGUGUAGCAGUGAAAUGCGUAGAGAUCGGGAGGAACAUCUGUGGCGAAGGCGACUGCCUGGACCAGCACUGACACUGAGGCACGAAAGCGUGGGGAGCAAACAGG